CAGUCGCCGCGGGAAUACGUAGGGUGCGAGCGUUAAUCGGAAUUACUGGGCGUAAAGCGUGCGCAGGCGGUUGUGUAAGACAGGUGUGAAAUCCCCGGGCUUAACCUGGGAACUGCGCUUGUGACUGCACAGCUAGAGUAUGGCAGAGGGGGGUGGAAUUCCACGUGUAGCAGUGAAAUGCGUAGAGAUGUGGAGGAACACCGAGGGCGAAGGCAGCCCCCUGGGCCAAUACUGACGCUCAUGCACGAAAGCGUGGGGAGCAAACAGGAUUAGAUACCCCCGUAGUCCCUGUCUCUUAUAA
rnacentral:rRNA from 1 species